CCCUUCCCCCUUAAAAAAAACUGAAAUUUCUCUCCAAAAAACCUCUCUCCUCCAGUUCUAGCUCCGACCGGCGGUCACCGUGCCUGGCUCCGGUCGCCGACGUCGAUGCCGCCGUGCAUGGUGGCCGGCGAGAUUAAAAAAAUGUGUUUUUUUAGAUCUCAACCCCCUCUGGCCCAGAUCCGGCCUCAAAAUGUCCAAAACGAAAGAAAAAGGACCUUCAGUCCUCUUAACAACCGAUUCGGCACUGGAGAAGGAGCCUCGGACGACCAAGAUGCGGAUCGACUCCGUGAUUGAUGGGGGGUGGAGCAAGUGAGCGGUGGCAAGUGGGGCAGACAGUGGUGGCUGGUCAGAAGCGGCAAGUGGGCAGAGUUGGUGGCGGUGGCAGGUGAGGCGGCAAACAUAGGGUGCGGCGGCUAGGGUUAGGAGCUAGGGUUUUUUCAUGUUUUUGUUUUCGGGUAUUGGGCUAAUUUUUUCUGAUUUGGGCUGUUUGGGUUUAAUGGGUUAGGUCUAGGUAGUUUGGGCUUGUUGGGUCAACAUUAUAAUUGGGCUCGUAAUGGUUUUAUGUUUGGGUUUAUUUUAUUUUUAUUUUUUUGUAAAAUGGACUGUUUAGGUUGGUUGCCAGGCCCGGGUAAAAUUGGGCUUACACAGCAGAAGUUUAACUUUUUUUCAAAA